AGUUGGACAGGGGACGGCUGGGAGUUCAAGCUUGCUGAUCCUGAUGAGGUAUGGCAGAGCCUGGGGAGAUCUUCUGGCUCCAAACCCUCCUCUUUGAGCACGAGGCUGAUCGCCAAGGCCGAUCACCAAGGCCCAUUAAGAGCCCCCGACUCUUAGGCGUCUUGGCUGUCUGUCUGGCAUUGCUUUGGAUAACUGUGCCUGAUGUCCUUUGGGUAAUGUCCUCUGCCCGUGGACAUGGGGAGAUUCCUCUCCUCACUCUGUGGUGUAGCAGUGGCCAGAGCAGCAAACUGAGGCUCUCUGGCCACCCUCAGCGAGGCUCAUUUGCCUUUGUCCUUUGGGGAUCAAGGCACAUAGCAGCAGGACAGUCCUCAAGGUUGGCACCUAAUCUCCCUGUGGGAGAAGGCUGUGGCAGGCAGGAUGCCAGCUGUCCCCAGACAGUUUUAAAGAAGCCCCUGGUCUCUGGCAUUAUGGAGUGCAGUUGUCCCUUCGCUCUGUCCCUGGGGAGUGAGCAUAUUACAAGGCCCAGAAUCCUCUCUACAGCUGUUUACUUUAGGAGUUAGAAUAAGAAUCCUGGCACAUCAUGCCACCAGCGUGUCCUUUGUCUCAGGAUCUCCUGGUUGAUCUCAGCUAUUGACAUCUGGAGGCUUUGCCAAGGCAGAGCUAGGGACAGGGACUGUGCUGUCCCUUAUGCAGAACAGGAAUCAAGAAUUCAGUGUCCCUUGCCUGCUUGGCUAGAAGUGAGCUGAUCACCCAUAGGCAUCUGUGGCUGUCAGAUUCUCUAGGGUGAGCACCCAGAGUCAGUGGACCAAUGUGACUCUUGCCUCUCUCCCUGUAUACCGAAGGUGGCCCGC
rnacentral:misc_RNA from 1 species